rnacentral:rRNA from 1 species
GACGAACGCUGGCGGCGUGCUUAACACAUGCAAGUCGAACGGAAAGGCCCGCUUGCGGGUACUCGAGUGGCGAACGGGUGAGUAACACGGGGGUGAUCUGGCCUGCACUUCGGGAUAAGCCUGGGAAACUGGGUCUAAUACCGGAUAGGACCGCAUCGUAGGUGGGGGGGUGGAAAGAUUUAUCGGUGCAGGAUGAGCGCGGGGCCUAUUCGGUGGUUGGUGGGGGAAUGGCCUACCAAGGCGUCGACGGGGGGCCGGGCUGAGAGGGUGGGCGGAACCCUUGGGACGGGGGUGCGGCUACGACUCCGGCGGGAGGAAGCAGUGGGGGAGCUUGCAGAAUGGGCGGUGGCCUGAGGCAGCGACGCCGCGUGAGUGAAGAAGUAUUGCGGUAUGUAAAGCUCUAUCAGCAGCGAAGAAAGUGACGGUACCUGAACAAGAAGCCCCGGCUAACUACGUGCCAGCAGCCGUCGUAA